rnacentral:sRNA from 2 species
UGUAUCGGAAGCCUGACGAGGAUGAGAACCUCCGGAGGGCAAGAGGUUCGACCCGAGCGAAGCGAGAGAACGUUGCGUCAGCAACGGCCCGCAGGGCGAGUCAUCCUCUAUCACCGGCAG